CGCUGGCGGCAUGCUUACACAUGCAAGUCGGACGGCAGCGGGGUAGUGCUUGCACUACUGCCGGCGAGUGGCGAACGGGUGAGUAAUAUAUUGGAACGUACCGAGUAAUGGGGGAUAACCAAUCGAAAGAUUGGCUAAUACCGCAUACGCUCUGAGGAGGAAAGCAGGGGACCUUCGGGCCUUGCGUUAUUCGAGCGGCCAAUAUCUGAUUAGCUGGUUGGUGGGGUAAAGGCCUACCAAGGCGACGAUCAGUAGCGGGUCUGAGAGGAUGAUCCGCCACACUGGGACUGAGACACGGCCCAGACUCCUACGGGAGGCAGCAGUGGGGAAUUUUGGACAAUGGGCGCAAGCCUGAUCCAGCCAUGCCGCGUGUCUGAAGAAGGCCUUCGGGUUGUAAAGGACUUUUGUUAGGGAAGAAAAAGGAGCGGUUAAUACCCGUUUCUGCUGACGGUACCUAAAGAAUAAGCACCGGCUAACUACGUGCCAGCAGCCGCGGUAAUACGUAGGGUGCGAGCGUUAAUCGGAAUUACUGGGCGUAAAGCGAGCGCAGACGGUUACUUAAGCAGGAUGUGAAAUCCCCGGGCUCAACCUGGGAACUGCGUUCUGAACUGGGUAGCUAGAGUAUGUCAGAGGGGGGUAGAAUUCCACGUGUAGCAGUGAAAUGCGUAGAGAUGUGGAGGAAUACCGAUGGCGAAGGCAGCCCCCUGGGAUAAUACUGACGUUCAUGCUCGAAAGCGUGGGUAGCAAACAGGAUUAGAUACCCUGGUAGUCCACGCCCUAAACGAUGUCGAUUAGCUGUUGGGCAGCUUGACUGCUUAGUAGCGUAGCUAACGCGUGAAUCG
rnacentral:rRNA from 1 species